rnacentral:rRNA from 1 species
UACGUAGGUGGCAAGCGUUAUCCGGAAUUAUUGGGCGUAAAGCGCGCGCAGGCGGUUUCUUAAGUCUGAUGUGAAAGCCCCCGGGCUCAACCUGGGAAUUGCAUUGGAGACUGCAAGGCUUGAAUCUGGCAGAGGGGGGGUAGAAUUCCACGUGUAGCAGUGAAAUGCGUAGAGAUGUGGAGGAACACCGAUGGCGAAGGCACCCCCCUGGGUCA